rnacentral:rRNA from 1 species
GACGAACGCUGGCGGCGUGCUUAACACAUGCAAGUCGAACGCUUAAGCUCAGCUUUUGUUGGGUGGAUGAGUGGCGAACGGGUGUGUAACACGUGAGUAACCUGCCCCCUUCUUUGGGAUAACGCCCGGCAACGGGUGCUAAUACUUGAUAUUCACUGGUCUUCGCAUGGGGGCUUGUGGAAAGGGUUUUUCUGGUGGGGGAUGGUCUCGUGGCCUAUCUGCUUGUUGGUGGGGUUAUGGCCUACCAAUGCUUUGACGGGUAGCCGGUAUGAGUAGGUGACCGGUAACAUAGGGACUGAGCUACGGCCCAGACUACUAAGGGAGGGAGAAGUGGGGAAUAUUGGAGAAUGGGGGAUACAGUCAUGCCGCGUCGCUGAGUAAGGGAUGGAGGCCGUAGAGUUGUGAACCUUUUUAGGUAAUGGUGAAGCCGCAACAAUGGUUGUGGUGACGGUAGUGGGUAAAGAAGCGCCGGCUAACUACGUG